UUUGAGAGUUUGAUCCUGGCUCAGGAUGAACGCUGGCGGUAUGCCUAACACAUGCAAGUUGAACGCAAAUUUUUUAAAUUUGAGUAGCGAACGGGUGAGUAACACGUGAGAAUCUGCCUCUAGGAGGGGUAUAAAAAACCCCAUAUGCCAUUGGUGAAAUAGAUUUAAUAAUCUGCCUGGAGAUGAGCUCGCGUCUGAUUAGCUAGUUGGUGAGGUAAAGGCUCACCAAGGCCACGAUCAGUAGCUGGUCUGAGAGGAUGAGCAGCCACACUGGGACUGAGAUACGGCCCAGACUCCUUCGGGAGGCAGCAGUGGGGAAUUUUCCGCAAUGGGCGAAAGCCUGACGGAGCAAUACCGCGUGAGGGAUGAAGGCUCGUGGGUCGUAAACCUCUUUUCCCAAGGAAGAAGUUCUGACGGUACUUGGGGAAUAAGCAUCGGCUAAUUCCGUGCCAGCAGCCGCGGUAAUACGGGAGAUGCGAGCGUUAUCCGGAAUCACUGGGCGUAAAGCGUCUGCAGGUGGUUUAGUAAGUCUGUUGUUAAAAACUGAAGCUUAACUUCAGAGGUGCGACAGAAACUGCUAAACUUGAGUAUGGUAGGGGUAGGAGGAAUUUCUAGUGUAGCGGUGAAAUGCGUAGAUAUUAGGAAGAACACCAUUAGCGAAGGCGUCCUACUGGGCCAUUACUGACACUCAGAGACGAAAGCUAGGGUAGCAAACGGGAUUAGAUACCCCGGUAGUCCUAGCCGUAAACGAUGGAUACUAGAUGUUGCGGGUUUACCUGCGGUGUCGUAGCUAACGCGUUAAGUAUCCCGCCUGGGGAGUACGCACGCAAGUGUGAAACUCAAAGGAAUUGACGGGGGCCCGCACAAGCGGUGGAGCAUGUGGUUUAAUUCGAUCAACGCGAAGAACCUUACCAGGAUUUGACAUACUAGGAAUUUUCUUUAAUCGGAAAAGUGCCUUCGGGAACCUAGAUACAGGUGGUGCAUGGCUGUCGUCAGCUCGUGUCGUGAGAUGUUGGGUUAAGUCCCGCAACGAGCGCAACCCUUGUCUUUAUUUGCCAUUCUUAAGUGGGGGACUAUAAAGAAACUGCCCGUGAAAAGCGGGAGGAAGGUAAGGAUGACGUCAAGUCAGCAUGCCCCUUAUAUCCUGGGCUACACACGUGCUACAAUGGUUAAGACAAAGAGAAGCAAACUUGUAAAAGCUAGCAAAUCUCACAAACUUAGCCCAAGUUCGGAUUGCAGGCUGAAACUCGCCUGCAUGAAGCUGGAAUCGCUAGUAAUCGCCGGUCAGCAUACGGCGGUGAAUUCGUUCCCGGGCCUUGUACACACCGCCCGUCACACCAUGGAAGUUGGUCAUACCCAACGUCGUUACCUGAAAGGGUUCGCCUAAGGUAGGGCUAAUGACUGGGGUGAAGUCGUAACAAGGUAGCCGUACUGGAAGGUGCGGCUGGAUCACCUCCUU
rnacentral:rRNA from 1 species